AAGGGCACACGGUGGAUGCCUUGGCACAGGAAGCCGAUGAAGGACGUGACAAGCUGCGAUAAGCUACGGUUAGGGGCACAUACCCGCUUGACCCGUAGAUUUCCGAAUGGGUAAACCUAAUAAGAGUCAUUUCUUAUUACAGUGCGUUGAACACAUA
rnacentral:rRNA from 1 species